CUCACUCUAAAACACCAUUUUACUCCACCUUCUCUCUAGAAAACCUCCUCAAACACCAAAAUACUUUGAUUCUUGUAACCUUUGGGUCUAGAUCCUCUACAUUCCACACUAAUUUUGAAGAUCCAAGUUAGGGUUUCUUUGGGUGUUGUGGAAGAGUUGAAGAGUUUUCCAAUCAAAACUAGGGUUUUAUCAUCUUCUUCAUCAAGAUCUUAAGGUAAAGAUGUUGUGGUUCCGCCAAGCUAAGGGUGGGGACAUGUUUGCUGAAGAGUAGAUCACUCUUCCUUUUGUUGAAAUUUUUGUAAAGCCUAGGGCUAAUUUGGUAUGGGUCCGAGAGACCGUUUUGUGUGACUGGGCUAUUGCCUUGGAAUUUGUAAGCCCAUAAGGGCAUUUUGAUGUUUGAGAUUUUAGUGUUUCACAUGCUAUACAUUCAUGUAACCUUUAUGUUGUGAAUUUAUAUUGCAUGCGGAACUUUUGAUGUUAAACCCAGUUAGUGUAUAUAUAUAUGAGAAGAUGGAAGGAUCUUUGUCA